UACGGAGGAUGCAAGCGUUAUCCGGAUUUAUUGGGCGUAAAGCGUCCGCAGGUGGCUAUUCAAGUCUGCUGUCAAAGCUCGGAGCUUAACUCCGAAUCGGCGGUGGAAACUGAACAGCUAGAGUGCAGUAGGGGUAGAGGGAAUUCCCAGUGUAGCGGUGAAAUGCGUAGAGAUUGGGAAGAACACCGGUGGCGAAAGCGGCCCCCUGGACCGGUACUGACGCCUGAGGCGCGAAA
rnacentral:rRNA from 1 species